rnacentral:rRNA from 1 species
AUGAACGCUGGCGGCGUGCCUAAUACAUGCAAGUCGAGCGAACGGACGAGAAGCUUGCUUCUCUGAUGUUAGCGGCGGACGGGUGAGUAACACGUGGAUAACCUACCUAUAAGACUGGGAUAACUUCGGGAAACCGGAGCUAAUACCGGAUAAUAUUUUGAACCGCAUGGUUCAAAAGUGAAAGACGGUCUUGCUGUCACUUAUAGAUGGAUCCGCGCUGCAUUAGCUAGUUGGUAAGGUAACGGCUUACCAAGGCAACGAUGCAUAGCCGACCUGAGAGGGUGAUCGGCCACACUGGAACUGAGACACGGUCCAGACUCCUACGGGAGGCAGCAGUAGGGAAUCUUCCGCAAUGGGCGAAAGCCUGACGGAGCAACGCCGCGUGAGUGAUGAAGGUCUUCGGAUCGUAAAACUCUGUUAUUAGGGAAGAACAUAUGUGUAAGUAACUGUGCACAUCUUGACGGUACCUAAUCAGAAAGCCACGGCUAACUACGUGCCAGCAGCCGCGGUAAUACGUAGGUGGCAAGCGUUAUCCGGAAUUAUUGGGCGUAAAGCGCGCGUAGGCGGUUUUUUAAGUCUGAUGUGAAAGCCCACGGCUCAACCGUGGAGGGUCAUUGGAAACUGGAAAACUUGAGUGCAGAAGAGGAAAGUGGAAUUCCAUGUGUAGCGGUGAAAUGCGCAGAGAUAUGGAGGAACACCAGUGGCGAAGGCGACUUUCUGGUCUGUAACUGACGCUGAUGUGCGAAAGCGUGGGGAUCAAACAGGAUUAGAUACCCUGGUAGUCCACGCCGUAAACGAUGAGUGCUAAGUGUUAGGGGGUUUCCGCCCCUUAGUGCUGCAGCUAACGCAUUAAGCACUCCGCCUGGGGAGUACGACCGCAAGGUUGAAACUCAAAGGAAUUGACGGGGACCCGCACAAGCGGUGGAGCAUGUGGUUUAAUUCGAAGCAACGCGAAGAACCUUACCAAAUCUUGACAUCCUUUGACAACUCUAGAGA